rnacentral:lncRNA from 1 species
UUUCUUUUAUCCAACCACAACAGUCAUUACCAUAUGGUAACUAAGUGCACCAAACAUUUUCUAUUCCAUUAACUGACACAUACAUAUAGUUCAUUUGUUCCAAACAUAAUCACCAAGACACCAUACAUCAGGUUCACAAAAGGUAACUUGGUGGUACUAUUAUUUCUGAUUCAUUGUCCGAGACACCAUACAUCAGACUCACAAAAGGAUAGCUAAGAGGUGAAUGUCCAAUGUAAAAAUAUACAAAACAUCCAGUUGGAGCGAACCUCGGCUACUUGUUUAUUAGUCCUCAUGCAUAUCUCUCCUACAAAAGAAACACAUUGUAAGUCAAAAAGGUGGAUUUUAAAUUUUCUGCAUCAAAUGGGGAUAUUGUGCCAUCUUUUUUAUACAAGUAAAUUCACAUGAAAAUUAGCAAAGUGGCAGCAGCAUAAUAUACUGGAAAACAGUACAGCAAGCUGGAAAAUAGCAGGCAGUAGCAACAGAAGCACAACAAAAUCAACACAACAGAAGCACACCCACAAGCAUAUAGAAUAGGCAGCAGCAUCAGCCAUCAUCACACCAUCAAGCAUAGAAGAUCCAUACAGCAUACACAUCAGCGAGCAAGCGUGCUAGCAGCCACCAACUAACAACCAGCGGUAGCACUUCUACAACCAGUGAUGACCAUCAAGUGUGUUCGUGAAACUAGGAAACUUGGAUAUAAUUAUAAACACAGAAUAUUGAUUGUUAUCCUGCAACUUAGAUAAUAAAAGGAUUUAGACUAGACCUUUAUGUGCUGAUAAUAUUUUUGGCCUAGGGCAGAUCAACAAGCAACGAGACGUACCUAUGAGUCUACAACUACCAGUUCAAGCAAUCAUAUCAGAAAGCAUCUACAACAAUAUUUGAUGGGUAUAAACCAGUUCUAUUUUUCCAUGGGAAGGUUUCCAUAGUUUGUUCUCAUGUCAUAUGCAUAAUAUAGUGCACUACAGUAACACAAAGAAGUCAAAUAACAGGUUGUGGUCAUUGAAAGCCACAAUCCUAGUGGACACUGUUUAAAAUCAUGGACUAUAAAAUAUGGAAUAUAAUAGAAUGUGCCACUGCGCAGAAUAUUUUAACAUUCAGAACCACCCAACAUCCCCUUUUCCUAGUAGCAAUUUUUUUAUCUUGCCAAAAAGCACAGUCUGGAGGAUGUUCACCAUUAGAAGUCAUUAUGAACAUGAAACAACUAACAUCGUAAAGGGAAAAGAACUGCAUCAACAAAUUGUAUUCAGGAAUCCACCUUAUCAAUUGAAACAAUAUCUUGGCACAUACACAAUUACACACGCAAAUGCACAAGCCGCGAUAAUUCACUAAAUUGGUCGUAUUAGACUCAUGGAUUUCGAGUCGCUCGACUAGUCGCGACU